GAUGAACGCUGGCGGCGUGCCUAAUACAUGCAAGUCGAGCGAACAGACGAGGAGCUUGCUCCUCUGACGUUAGCGGCGGACGGGGGAGUAAAACGUGGAUAACCUACCUAUAAGACUGGGAUAACUUCGGGAAACCGGAGCUAAUACCGGAUAAUAUAUUGAACCGCAUGGUUCAAUAGUGAAAGACGGUUUUGCGGUCACUUAUAGAUGGAUCCGCGCCGCAUUAGCUAGUUGGUAAGGUAACGGCUUACCAAGGCAACGAUGCGUAGCCGACCUGAGAGGGUGAUCGGCCACACUGGAACUGAGACACGGUCCAGACUCCUACGGGAGGCAGCAGUAGGGAAUCUUCCGCAAUGGGCGAAAGCCUGACGGAGCAACGCCGCGUGAGUGAUGAAGGUCUUCGGAUCGUAAAACUCUGUUAUUAGGGAAGAACAAAUGUGUAAGUAACUAUGCACGUCUUGACGGUACCUAAUCAGAAAGCCACGGCUAACUACGUG
rnacentral:rRNA from 1 species